GAUGAACGCUGGCGGCGUGCCUAAUACAUGCAAGUCGAGCGCAGCGGGGACGGGUGAGUCACACGUGGAUAACCUCCUAUAAGCCUGGGAUAACUUCGGGAAACCGGAGCUAAACCGGCUACUUAUAGGUGGCUCCGCGCUUCAUUAGCUAGUUGGUAAGGUAACGGCUUACCAAGGCAACGAUGCAUAGCCGACCUGGGAGGGUAGUCUGCCACACUGAAACUGAGACACGGUCCAGACCCCUACGGAAGGCAGCAAUAGGGAAUCUUCCGCAAUGGGCGAAAGCCUGACGGAGCAACUCCGCGUGAGUGAUGAAGGUCUUCGGUUCGUAAAACUCUGUUAGUGGGGAAGCGGUACCUAAUAAGAAAGCCACGGCUAACUACGUGCCAGCAGCCGCGGUAAUUC
rnacentral:rRNA from 1 species